GAUGAACGCUGGCGGCGUGCCUAACACAUGCAAGUCGAACGGAGCUGUCGGAGCUUGCUUUGACAGCUUAGUGGCGAACGGGUGAGUAACGCGUGAGCAACCUGCCCUUGAGAGGGGGAUAACAUCGGGAAACCGAUGCUAAUACCGCAUAAAAUAUGCAGAUGGCAUCAUUGGCAUAUCAAAGGAGAAAUCCGCUCAAGGAUGGGCUCGCGUCUGAUUAGAUAGUUGGUGAGGUAACGGCCCACUAAGUCGACGAUCAGUAGCCGGACUGAGAGGUUGACCGGCCACAUUGGGACUGAGACACGGCCCAGACUCCUACGGGAGGCAGCAGUGGGGAAUAUUGGGCAAUGGGGGGAACCCUGACCCAGCAACGCCGCGUGAAGGAAGAAGGCCUUCGGGUUGUAAACUUCUUUGACAGGGGAAGAAGGAAGUGACGGUACCCUGAGAACAAGCUCCGGCUAACUACGUG
rnacentral:rRNA from 1 species